rnacentral:tRNA from 1 species
GUUUAAGUAGUUUAGUUGGUUGAACUCUAACUUUUAUGUUAUUGAAGGCUUAUGUCAUGGGUUCAAAUCUCAUUAUCAACA